GGUCCUGGCGGCGCUAACACAUGCAGUCGAACGAAGUAGCAUACUUAGUGGCAGACGGGUGAGUACAUGUGGGUUCUGCCCUUUGGCCUGGAAUAACACGAGGAAACUUGUGCUAAUACCGGAUAAGUCUUUACGGAGAAAGCUUUAUGCACCAUUGGAUGAGCCCGCACUUGAUUAGUUUGUUGGUGGGGUAAUGGCCUACCAAGACUGUGAUCAAUAGCUGAUUUGAGAGGAUGAUCAGCCAUAUUGGGACUGAGACACGGCCCAAACUCCUACGGGAGGCAGCAGUGGGGAAUCUUGCACAAUGGAGGAAACUCUGAUGCAGCGAUGCCGCGUGAGUGAAGAAGGCCCUUGGGUUGUAAAGCUCUUUCGUCGGGGAAGAAAAUGACUGUACCCGAAUAAGAAGGUCCGGCUAACUUCGUGCCAGCAGCCGCGGUAAUACGUAGGGGGCGAGCGUUGUCCGGAUUUAUUGGGCGUAAAGAGCUCGUAGGCGGUUCAACAAGUCGGUCGUGAAAGUUCAGGGCUCAACCCUGAAAUGUCGAUCGAUACUGUUGUGACUAGGAUACGGUAGAGGUGAGUGGAAUUCCGAGUGUAGCGGUGAAAUGCGUAGAUAUUCGGAGGAACACCAAUAGCGAAGGCAGCUCACUGGGCCGCUAUCG
rnacentral:rRNA from 1 species